GGACAUGUAGCUCAAUGGUAGAGAACUUGCCUAGCAUGUGUGAGGCACGUGCAAGGCCCUGGGUUCAAUCCUCAGCACCA
rnacentral:tRNA from 1 species